rnacentral:rRNA from 1 species
UACGAAGGGGGCUAGCGUUGUUCGGAAUUACUGGGCGUAAAGGGCUCGUAGGCGGCCAACUAAGUCAGACGUGAAAUCCCUCGGCUUAACCGGGGAACUGCGUCUGAUACUGGAUGGCUUGAGUUUGGGAGAGGGAUGCGGAAUUCCAGGUGUAGCGGUGAAAUGCGCAGAUAUCAGGAAGAACACCCGUGGCGAAGGCGGCUCUCUGGAACGCAACUGACGCUGAGACGCGAAAGCGUGGGGAGCAAACAGG